UCAUCCUAAACUCUAAUCAGUAUUACGAAACAGUAGAUUUCUCUGGCACAAAGAACAAAUUUUACAUAAUCAACUCUAUCCAAACACCAAAUAUCACAUAACACACGUUAAAAUCCCAAGGUUCAGGUAGUAUGAAGGUCUUCUUAAAUUCAUCCUAAACUCUAAUCAGUAUUACGAAACAGUAAAUUUCUGGCACAAAGAACAAAUUUUACAUAAUCAACUCUAUCCAAACACCAAAUAUCACAUAACACACAUAAUCCUCAACAAACUACAUAACCGGAAUUUCAACAAAUCCUUCAACUUUCGAAACCCUAGAAAAUCAGAAUCACUUAUCUUUGGUGGAGACAGCAUCACCUGCGAGCAGACGUAGUCUUUGAGUCGGACGUUGGGUUCUCGAGAGCGUUGAGAACGACGAAGCGGCUCUCAGCGGGAACAAGGGAAAGAGAAUCAGGAAGGACGACAUCAACUGGGAAUUUGGGGCGUCGGGCAUAAUUUUCGAAAUUGGAGGGUGGAGGCGGAUUGGGUGAUGGAGAUGACGGCGGCGGAUCGGUUGAUGGAGAUGGCGGCGACGGAUUGGGUGGUGGAGAGGGCGGUGGAGAAUUUGGUGGGGAAGAUGUCGAUGGCAGGUUUA
rnacentral:lncRNA from 1 species